UACGUAGGUGGCAAGCGUUGUCCGGAUUUAUUGGGUUUAAAGGGUGCGUAGGCGGCCGCCUAAGUCAGUUGUGAAAUACCCCGGCUCAACCGGGGGGGUGCGAUUGAUACUGGGCGGCUCGAGUAACAGCGAGGUUGGCGGAAUUGACGGUGUAGCGGUGAAAUGCAUAGAUAUCGUCAAGAACACCGAUAGCGAAGGCAGCCAACUAGGGGUUAACUGACGCUGAGGCACGAAAGUGCGGGGAUCAAACAGG
rnacentral:rRNA from 2 species